rnacentral:misc_RNA from 1 species
GAUGAAGAACGCAGCGAAAUGCGAUAAGUAAUGUGAAUUACAGAAUUCAGUGAAUCAUCGAAUCUUUGAACGCACAUUGCGCCCGCCAGUAUUCUGGCGGGCAUGCCUGUUCGAGCGUCAUUACAACCCUCAGGCCCCCGGGCCUGGCGUUGGGGAUCGGCGGAAGCCCCCUGCGGGCACAACGCCGUCCCCCAAAUACAGUGGCGGUCCCGCCGCAGCUUCCAUUGCGUAGUAGCUAACACCUCGCAACUGGAGAGCGGCGCGGCCACGCCGUAAAACACCCAACUUCUGAAUGUUGACCUCGAAUCAGGUAGGAAUACCCGCUGAACUUAAGCAUAUCAAUAAGCGGAGGA